rnacentral:rRNA from 1 species
UAGGGAAUCUUCCACAAUGGGCGAAAGCCUGAUGGAGCAACGCCGCGUGUGUGAUGAAGGGUUUCGGCUCGUAAAACACUGUUGUUAAAGAAGAACAUAUCUGAGAGUAACUGUUCAGGUAUUGACGGUAUUUAACCAGAAAGCCACGGCUAACUACGUGCCAA